UCGACAUGCAGGCAACGGCUUUCCUAAUUAGAAAUUCACCUGUCGUCUUUCAUCCAGCAAAUUCAUCCUCGCACAACACUGAGAUGAAGGCGAAGUCACCAUGAAAAGUUAAACGUUUACCGUUAAGCUACAGUAACUGAUGUUGAAAAACUGAUGCUACCAAUCACUCCUCACUUGAUUAUUCAAGCUCAGAUUGUGAUGGACCUGGAAUGCGACACCAGUUACUCUUAAGACAAGAACCGAAUAAAGCACAGAUGUGAAGAGGUUUGCAGCCAAACUAACUGGAGGGAAGGAACCUUUAGUGUGGGUGAACAUACUACCUGGAUGUCCAACAAAGGCUGCACAAGAGCUCAUUUGAUAGCACAUAUUCUGUCCUGUCUACAUCUCUGAUGACCUGGAAGUGCUUCGACAUCAGAUCAUCAUCAUGCUGCUGCCCUUUUUCACUGUCCCUUUCCACAUCAUUUGGCCUUCAUCAUUUCCUGUCUUGUAGCAGUAUUUUCACCUGUUUUUAAAAUUGUAAUAAUUUUUGAUGCAUUAAUUGUUGACUGGCUUUAAUGAUCAAUUGUUUAUUAGUGUUCUGUUGCUCUGUUAUAUUGAAUAAUUGCUACUGUGUUAGCAUGGUUUACACAAUAAACCUUUAUU
ensembl:processed_transcript